CAGACACAGACAACCAUUCGCACUCACAUUCAAACCUUUAGAGUAAUUUAGAGUUUCCAAUGAAACUCUUUAUGGGAGGAAGCCGGAAGACCCGGGGAGGACCCACGCCAGCGUGCUCCCUGUCUGAGAUUUCAUUUACAGAAACUAUUUCAGAAUCCACAGCACUGAUGGAGCCCUGUGAUGUGUCAGCGUGUCUGUAAACCACUCUCGGGGCUGCAAAAUUACUUUGCAAACUGAGCCUUACAGGGGCCUGCCUCACUGCACCUGAACAAUACAGUGGUUCAUUCAUGGAUCAGCUCCUGCCUUCUCUCACUGUGAUGAAAAUCAAGUCUUUGUAAGCCGCUGCAAAGAUGAGGCGAGUGGAACUAAAUAGGAUGUAGUUCUCAAAAGUCGUGUUUAUUUCAAAAUAAAAUUGUUUAAAUGCCUUCGAUCUGACUCAUCCUUGUGUGUCUUCACUGCAGCAGAGUUGAACAAAGGCACAGACAGAUGACAUUUUAUUAUAAGGUUUACAAAAUACUGCUGCUGCUGAAUGAUGUAGCAGGCUGGCUAAUGAUGGGUCUAUACCACGGUAGGUGGGUUCAUUUACAAGCAGAGAUGGUUCACAAACCAUUUCAAAAGCAACAACAAGAAUCAAAGGACUAUGCUCAUACAGUAGUUUAGAUUUUAGAAGCCGAAAUGUGAAUAAAAACAGAACGUGAUGACUUCCAUACUUUAAUCAGAAUAGCAAACAUGUUAAACGUCUGAUCUGAGAGAAUGAACCCUUUUCUGUAAAAUAACAGCUGAUUUUGAUGUUAGCAACUUGGGAAGGGGGAAGAAAAAGCAGGAAACUAAAAGGAGUUGGGAUGUGCAGAGGUUCAUCAGUCUGUAACUAUCUCAUCAUCUACAGUACACGAUGUCAAAUGAUUCAGCGGACCUGGAGACAUUUCUGUGUGUGAGGGACAAGGCUGAAAGUCAAUAUUGGAUGCAUGAUUCUGCAAAACAGGCAUGAUUCGGUCCUGGAAAUCACUGCAUGGGCUCAGAAGCACUUCUGGAAGUCACUGUCUGCAAACACAGUUCACCGUGCCGUCCAUGAAUGGAGGUUACAGCUCCAGCAUGCAAAGAAGAAGCCACAUAGAAACAAGCUCAUGUAAAAGGAACUGAGGAAAAGUGGAAAACUGUUCCGAGGUCAAGUGUGAAGUUCUUCUUGGAAAAUAUGGAAGAUGUAUCCGGACUGAAAAGGAGAGAAACCAUCCAGCUUGUUAUCAGCACUCAGUUCAAACGCCAGCAUGUUUGAUGGUACGGGGGUCUGUGAGUGUUUCUGGCAGUGACAGCUUGGACAUGUAGAAAGACCAUCAGUGCUGAAAGGUACAGACAGGUUUUAGAGCAACAUGCGCUCCCAUCUACUUUAUCUUUGAAGGAUGGUUUUGCAUAUUUCAGCAAGACAACGUUAAACUGAAAUUUGCAUCUAACACAACAGCGUGGUGCUGACCUGCCUGCUAACCCCAACCCAGAGAGCAGACCUGGGACUGCUGAGCAUCUUUAAUCCCACAUCAGGAGGAAACAGCAUUACUGUCCUUGAAGCCCAGCAGCUGGUCUCCUCAGCUCCCAGACGUUUGCAGACUGUUGUUCAAAGAAGAGGGGAUGCUACACAGCGGUAAACAGCUCUUCUUCUUCUUCUUUUUUAAAAUGUUGAUUUUCUCAAUUAAAACCUUUGACAUGGUUUGUGGGAUCUACUGGGGAUAAAAUCUGGGUUUGAGAGAUUUUCAUUGCACACUUUUCUUUAAAUUUACAUUCCUCACAAUUUCUUUGGCAUUGAGUUUGUGUACAACUGUAAUCCUGGGUCAGUCUGUCAGACUGAUUUAUUGCAGCAGAAUGCAGUUAAAGCGUGGUGUCUGUGCUCCAACAGCCUCUCCCCACAAAUACGACACACAUGGAAAUGAGCAAGUGAUGAGCAAACAUACCUACGGACAUGUCAGAGCGCAUUCUGCAGGUUGACAGCGACUAUUAGUCUCGCAGGCUUUCCUCCAUUUCUGUGAUACCAACGCUAUCAAUUAACAUUUUGCCAAGCAGCACAAAACUGAUGCCUUAAUAACUAAACACUCGUUAGGUCCUUUUAAAGUUUUUCCCUCCUAAAAUAUUUGAAUCCUUGUAUUAAAGUUACAAACAAACUAUGUUACAGACUAAUGUCUGCAACAGCAGCCAGGAAUAAUCUUAGCACUGAACAAACACACACAGCAUCCCGACAGAUGAAUGUGGAUGUUAGUUCUUGCUCCAGUUUAUGCACAGCCUCUCAGUUAAGUAACAGUCGAGGCGCUUCUGCAGUGCGAGCUUUGUUCUCAGAUUCACACAGCGAGACGCGUCUUUACGCUGAAGUGAAGCAAACGCCAUGAACACACUCGUUUGGCCGUGGCGUUACAGACACACAGACACACAGAGACGUGUGUGUGAAUAGGUUUAUUUGAUUUACAGACCUGUACAUUUUUCCAUCAAUCCACCCACAGGAGCAUCACAUUUCAGUUCUAAAAGAAUACCCUCUGACUUCUCGGACACUUCACGUGUACUGACCUCUAAAAAUAAAAAUAACUUCUGGUUUUUGUUUUUUCUCUUCUGCUCAACAUGAGUUUAUUUAUACAAGACUCUUGUAUGACAAGAAGCAUUUCCUCGAGACAUCACUUCAGUGAUUGUUAACAUACAUUUACAACAGACUAAAGGACGGACUGGUGCUAAAUCAAAUGAAUUUUGGCAAA